rnacentral:tRNA from 1 species
UGUUUUGUGGCUUAGUUGGAUAAAGCGCCGUACUACCAAUACAGAGUCAUGAGUUCUAAUCCCACCAAAGCAA